UACGUAGGGUGCGAGCGUUAAUCGGAAUUACUGGGCGUAAAGGGCGCGUAGGCGGCCUUCUAAGUCGAACGUGAAAUCCCCGGGCUCAACCCGGGAACUGCGUCCGAUACUGGAAGGCUAGAAUCCGGGAGAGGGAUGCGGAAUUCCAGGUGUAGCGGUGAAAUGCGUAGAUAUCUGGAGGAACACCGGUGGCGAAGGCGGCUAUCUGGACCGACAUUGACGCUGAGGCGCGAAAGCGUGGGGAGCAAACAGG
rnacentral:rRNA from 1 species